UGCAUGGCGCUGCUACUCUUCAGUCGACGCAUGAAGCCGCUUUCGGGUGGUGGAUGAGUGGCGAACGGGUGAGUAACACGUGGGCAAUCUGCCCUGUACUCUGGGAUAAGCCUUGGAAACGAGGUCUAAUACCGGAUGGGACACCGCUUCGCAUGGGGUGGUGUGGAAAGCUUCGGCGGUACGGGAUGAGCCCGCGGCCUAUCAGCUUGUUGGUGGGGUGAUGGCCUACCAAGGCGACGACGGGUAGCCGGCCUGAGAGGGUGACCGGCCACACUGGGACUGAGACACGGCCCAGACUCCUACGGGAGGCAGCAGUGGGGAAUAUUGCACAAUGGGCGGAAGCCUGAUGCAGCGACGCCGCGUGAGGGAUGACGGCCUUCGGGUUGUAAACCUCUUUCGCCCGGGACGAAGCGUGAUAGUGACGGUACCGGGAGAAGAAGCACCGGCUAACUACGUGCCAGCAGCCGCGGUAAUACGUAGGGUGCAAGCGUUGUCCGGAAUUAUUGGGCGUAAAGAGCUCGUAGGCGGUGUGUCACGUCUGCCGUGAAAACCUGCGGCUUAACCGUGGGCGUGCGGUGGAUACGGGCAUCACUUGAGUUCGGCAGGGGAGACUGGAAUUCCUGGUGUAGCGGUGGAAUGCGCAGAUAUCAGGAGGAACACCGGUGGCGAAGGCGGGUCUCUGGGCCGAUACUGACGCUGAGGAGCGAAAGCGUGGGGAGCGAACAGGAUUAGAUACCCUGGUAGUCCACGCCGUAAACGUUGGGCGCUAGGUGUGGGACGCUGUUCCGUGUCCCGUGCCGUAGCUACGCAUUAAGCGCCCCCCUGGGGAUACGGCCCAAGGCUAAACUCAAGGAUUGACGGGGCCGCACAGCGGCGGAGCAUGUGGAUAAUCGAUGCACGCGAAAACCUUACUGGGCUUGACAUGCACCGAUCGCUCAAAAUGGGUUUCCUUGUGCUGGUCACAGUGGUCAUGCUGUCGUCACUCUUUCGUGAAUUUUGG
rnacentral:rRNA from 1 species